rnacentral:rRNA from 1 species
AACGAACGCUGGCGGCAUGCCUAACACAUGCAAGUCGAACGAAGGCUUCGGCCUUAGUGGCGCACGGGUGCGUAACGCGUGGGAAUCUGCCCUUUGGUUCGGAAUAACAGCUGGAAACGGCUGCUAAUACCGGAUGAUGACGAAAGUCCAAAGAUUUAUCGCCCGAGGAUGAGCCCGCGUUGGAUUAGGUAGUUGGGAGGGUAAAGGCCUACCAAGCCGACGAUCCAUAGCUGGUCUGAGAGGAUGAUCAGCCACACUGGGACUGAGACACGGCCCAGACUCCUACGGGAGGCAGGAGUGGGGAAUAUUGGACAAUGGGCGCAAGCCUGAUCCAGCAAUGCCGCGUGAGUGAUGAAGGCCCUAGGGUUGUAAAGCUCUUUUACCUGGGAAGAUAAUGACUGUACCGGGAGAAUAAGCCCCGGCUAACUCCGUG